ACCAUAUUCUUUCAUUAUAUUCUAUUGAAUUUGCUUCCUAUCUCCCAUCUAACUAAACCGGCACUUAAUUCCUAACACUCAAUGCUAUUGUCUAUCCUCGGCAGUGACACCAAAAUGUGAUUGUUGUUUUACUUAUUCUACAAUUCUUUUUAGAAUAAACUUAUAUAGGAGAAUUCAAAUACAGAGAAAGACUAAGUGCAUGAAUUUUACUUAUUAGGAUCACACAAUUAACAGUAUUCUGAACCACUAAAAUACCAAGAAACAUUACAAUGCUUUCUCCCAAUAAAAAUACUCCAUCAACUGAUAACAACAGUGUGCAAUCCUGCACUCUCUAAAGAUUGCUCAAAAUACAUAAUUUCCAUCUAACACCAGAAUUAACAAACUUCACUCCAACCAAUUUGAAUUCAUAUAAUUUCUGUAAUCACCAACUUCCUUUGUCCAAAAUACACAUAGUUCUUAAUAAACAACAACCAUAAUCUUCCAAUAACUCCUCAUAUAAUGCAAUCACUCAAUACUCCAAUUACAUAAUCAAUAACUCAUAAAUCAAUCUCUGAUUUAUUCCACAGACUCACUUCUCAGUAUUUAGAAACUAUCCAUUACUCUUCAACAACAAAGAAAACAAAGAGAUAAAGAGAUAGGACCAAGCUUACUCCGGCUCAUAAUUAUCAUAGUCUGGCUCUCCAACAAACUUCUACAACUCCUAUAUAAUUGUUCAUGAUUUCCAGAUUCUAACCAUAAUCUUGUAAUUAAUUGCUUUUAAUAACUAAAUCAAUCAUCCGUCGUCUUGAACUAACUAUUCUAUGGACUAUUAGUCUAUUUUAUCAAUAUCUUAUAAAAACAAACUAAUAUCUAUUCUACAAUAAUAUAAAAU
rnacentral:lncRNA from 1 species